UACAGAGGUCCCGAGCGUUGUUCGGAUUCAUUGGGUACGGUAAAGGGUGCGCAGGCGGUCCGUGUGUGUGAUGGCGUGAAAGCCCGGGGCUUAACCCCGGAAUUGCACCUCAAACUACAUGGCUAGAGCAUUGGAUGAGGGUAGGCGGAAUUCACGGUGUAGCAGUGAAAUGCGUAGAUAUCGUGAGGAACACCAGAGGCGAAGGCGGCUACCUGGACAAUUGCUGACGCUCAGGCACGAAAGCGUGGGGAGCGAAAAGGG
rnacentral:rRNA from 1 species